rnacentral:rRNA from 1 species
UACGUAGGGGGCUAGCGUUGUCCGGAAUCAUUGGGCGUAAAGCGCGUGUAGGCGGUUUGGUAAGUCCGCUGUGAAAGUCGGGGGCUCAACCCCCGGAUGCCGGUGGAUACUGUCGGGCUUGAGUACGGAAGAGGCGAGUGGAAUUCCUGGUGUAGCGGUGAAAUGCGCAGAUAUCAGGAGGAACACCAGUUGCGAAGGCAGCUCGCUGGGACGUUACUGACGCUGAGACGCGAAAGCGUGGGGAGCAAACAGG